rnacentral:lncRNA from 1 species
AUUAUUGGGCUAAUCAUGUGUUGAUCCAAAACUUUAACCCAAAUUCUAGAAUAAUCUUCCACCUCCUUAAGCUAAAAAAAUCUAGAUUUUGUUAUAGAAAAAUCUAGAUAAUUAGAAUAAAAAAUCUAGAUAUUAUGUUAGAAUUAUCUAGAUUUAAGAUUAAAAUAUUUGAGAUAUUUUGUAUUAUGGGGGCUAUAAAUACCUCCACUUCCCUUUCAUUUUGUAUCACCAAGAAGUAUCCAAGUUUGUAAGAAUUAUCUAAGUAAUAAGAAUCCUCUUCUAAGUUAUAAAAGUUUUCUUCUUCACAAAGCUUCUUUCUCUUCAAACACUUA